AGUUGGUUGGGUUUCAAAAGAGGGUUAUGGUUUCAAAGUAGGGUUCUAAAUAAGGGUUAAGGUUUCAAAGUAGGGUUUCAAAUCAGGGUUAGGAUUGCAAUUUAAGACUUCGAUCUUGGGUUGGGUUUCAAACUACGAUUAAGGUUUCAAAGUACGGUGUCAAAUUAGUGUGAGUGCUUUAAAGUAGGGUUGGCGUGUGUGUUUGUGUGUUUGUGUGUUGCCCCUUCCGUCUUUCUCUCCAUCCAUUGCACAAUCAUCCCUCUUCUCUUUGUACCCUUUUCUUUUCAUUGUAGUCCAGUUUAAUAACGUCACCAUGGCAGUGAGACGGUUGCUAGGCAACUGGCCGGCGUCUAGAAGGACGUUUGAUUGGUCGUCGCUGUAUGAGCCAUGUUUUGCGUUGAUGUAAUUUACCUCCAUGCCACUAGAGGUCUCUCAUGCAUUUUCAUGCGUGGUACGAGGAAGAAUAUUAAAACCAGCGGUCAACUUGAACACGGUAUGGGACUUGUCAAAUGCCUGGAAACUACCAGAACUCUCCGUCACCUUAUUUUCGUACAUCUUAACUCCCUUAUCAGCCACAGAAAUGGACUAUAUAGGGUUUAUAAACGGCUUCAUUUGGAUUCAUUGUGGAUUAUUGUUCGUGGCGUUCGUUUGGCAGUUCCAGGUGUGAGGAGAGCAAACGUUUGGGGUUGCUUAAAACCGGAGCGGCAUCAGCUACACACAAAUGCUGGAUUGAGUCUGCAAGAAGACAAGGAAGCAAAAGUGUUGGUGUCUUGAUGGUGGCGAUGAAGAGGCCGGCUGGAGAAAACAAGGCCAAGGAAGGCGGGCGAGAUAUUGCAGCUGCGAAACUGGGGCAGAAAAAAAGGUAAGAAAGAAAUGGACGUUUGGGCAGAGACGCGACAUGCACGAGCAGGAAGGAGGAUAGAAGGAUGGGAUGAAAAGAUGCGGAGGUAAAGAGGACAAAUGACUGGAGGCAGAGCUUUUGUCCCUCUGCUGGCAGCACAUCGUGUCUUUGUGUCUCAAUGACUCCCGCUACUUUUAUGCUCCUGCCUUUUUUCAAUUAGAGUUCAAGCCCACUCACGCAUCAAGCAAGAAAUAUGCCCUUGAUAAGAAUAUCAAAUAAAUAAUAAUACAAUAAAUUAAUAUAACUUAUCAUUUAAAAUGGCAAUGUUAAUGAGCAAAAAACAUUUAUUUUUUUAGCACGUAUUGUAUAUUUUGUUAUUUUCUUUCUUGUGUUGUUAUUGGGCUGUUCUCAUAAUUCCCGCUGCACCCAGAGCGACACGGCCGAAUGCAGACUUCAGAAAUGGAGCAUGGCAAAACAAAUAGUCAGCAUCUCCACCAAUGGGCUGCAAUAGGAAAACAUUGACCCUGUCAUAGCUUUUGAGGCUCCACAUACAAUUUAUUGUUUAACAUGGCCCAGUUGAUUCUAACCCCCAACCUUGAAUGUGCAACAUUCACGCAGUAUUGUCAUGACAUCUUGUACUACUUCCAGUUAAAGCCUUUACGAGCAUCUUGCGGGUCUCUUCCCAUACAGCGAGUGUUACUGAUACUCCAGUUUGGCUGGACCAGCACCAGGCGCCGAGGCUCGGCUCCAAAGCGCCGUCGCCGUAGCACACUCUUACCCUGCAGUCAUUCACUUUGUCUGCACACAAACGCAGCUGCCAAGUUUGUGUGACAUGACCGCCCACCUCUUUUGGGAAACUUGGAGCUUUUAAAUGCAGAGGCUUCUUCUUGGCUCUUGGAGUGAUGGAGUGUGUGGUAUGGGAGUGGGGGGGGAGGGGGACGUCACUUUGAAUUGAAUCCGUUUAGCUUAAGCUACUCUCAAUACAGAGUAUGACAGAUUGAGCCAGUGAGAACUUGAGUUGAGCCAUUUUUGUCAGUUUUGAGUGCAUGAAUAAGGGAUGGGCAACUGGUGGCCCCUGGCCGACAUGCGGGCCCGACCGCACUCUGAGUAGCCCCUUGAUCGUUUUUAAUAAACAAAAGAAAACAUGUUCUUUACAUUUUCUUUUUGAUUUGAUUUUACUUGUAUUUUAUUUACUCUUUUUUUUUUUUUUGCUCAAAAAGGUUUUCAAACACUAGUUUACGCUGACUGAUAUUUGACGUUAACCUCUUAAAUUGAAGAUGGAUGAAAAUGUCAUUGCCAUUUACUGACAUAAAACCCUCAAAUAUGAUUGCAGUAAUAAAACUUUCAAUGAUUCUCCUAUAAAAAAA